rnacentral:tRNA from 1 species
GGUCGGUUCAUCUAAGGGCUAGGAUACAUGCCUCUCACGCAUGACAUACGGGUUCGAAUCCCGUACCGACUA